UCGAUUAUAGUGGCCUUUUUCCACACACGGCCAUGGAAAUGGCUGGCAGACCUCCAACCCGGUGAGCAGGGCACUAUUAGGGAGGGCAUCAAAGGUGGUAGGGCACGUGGCUGCUCUUUCUUGCUUCCCAUCUGCCUUGCAGAUGGGCAUCUAAGCGAAGAUGGAGCCAGAGCAGGACACACGCCGAUCGUCAGCUCUCAUCUGGUCUCCAUGCUGCCAUCCAGGACAG
rnacentral:lncRNA from 1 species